AAUAGAUACCCAGGUAGUCCACGCCGUAAACGUUGGAUACUAGGUGUGGCGUCCCGAUCAACGGAUGCCGUGCCGAAGCUAACGCAUUAAGUAUCCCGCCUGGGGAGUACGGCCGCAAGGCUAAAACUCAAAGGAAUUGACGGGUCCCCGCACAAGCGGCGGAGCAUGCGGCUUAAUUCGAUGCAACCCGAAGAACCUUACCUGGGUUUGAAAUCAUGGGAAAAGCUGUAGAAAUACAGUGUCCGUAAGGGCCCAUGACAGGUGGUGCAUGGCUGUCGUCAGCUCGUGUCGUGAGAUGUUGGGUUAAGUCCCGCAACGAGCGCAACCCUUGUCCUAUGUUGCCAGCGGUUCGGCCGGGGACUCAUAGGAGACUGCCGGGGAUAACUCGGAGGAAGGUGAGGACGACGUCAAGUCAUCAUGCCCCUUAUAUCCAGGGCUGCACGCAUGCUACAAUGGUCGGUACAACGGGCAGCGACCCCGCGAGGGUGAGCGAAUCCCACAAAGCCGGCCUCAGUUCGGAUUGGAGUCUGC
rnacentral:rRNA from 1 species